CUGAGCGUAAACACAAAUAAUGAUCGUCUCUGAGAAGUCAGAUCAUCAACGGUCACUGCAGUCUGCAUUCCUCAUUUCCUUUCAAAUGCUCUGCCACAUCACUAUUGUUUUGAUGGGAAUACAAACUGCCUGUGGUCGUAAGAUGGAAAAAAUGUGACUAAUAUGUUAAUGAGCACAUGAAAAACAGGCCGCCUGCGAGCUUGAGAGCUGAACAGUGGGUGUCACAGCGAUGCGAUGUGUAGGGAUGGGACCAUCUCAGGGCAGCCACAGAGAGCUUUACAAGAAGGCCGUCUUCCCUUUGGUACUUGCAGGAGGACGGCACAGAACGGGGGAUGGAUACAGGUGGGCUGUUCCACAGCUUCUAAGAGCAGAACGCUGGACCUUACAGGCAUGUACUUCUACAACACUCGCUGUGUACAGGCUCGUCGGCUGAGACCAAGGCGAGCACAGAUGAAUGACGGUGAUUAAGAGAGGGAAAUGGAGGGGGGGGGUUUAAUUAAAAUCGCUGAAAAAAUUGUCCUAUUUGUCUUUCUAAAUACAAAUUUCAUGGAGAUAUGAAAUUGUAGCUAAGGAGUGCACUGAGUUGGUAAAGUGCCAGUCUCAGUAGUGCAACUUAGAACCCCAAUACUACAGAGGCAGAGACAGGAAGACCCCUGGGCUCCCUGGCCAGUCAGUCUAGCCUGCUGGGAGAAUCUGAGCCAAAGUGAGAAGCCCUGUAUCAUAAAUCAAAGUGGGUACAGCCUGAGGAAGGACACCCAAGGUUAUCCUCUGACCGCCAUAUGCAGGUGCACCUACACACAGGUGCACAUAAACAUGAACAUGUGUGUGCACGUGUAUGUGCAUACAGAUUAUCAAAUCUUUCAGUUUGGGAACUCAAAAGCAAUUAUUAUCCUAUUUACCAUAAAACUAUUCUAUUAGCAAAACUAUGUCAUUUUUUUUGUCAUUUACUUGAUUUGCUGACUUAGACUCUUCUUCACCCCAAAUUUCUCAAACAUGAAUAUCUUCUACACUGGAGAAUCAGGGGCCAACUCCCAGUCUUAGGAUUAUUUGCUACCUUAUCAGUCUAUGACACAAGUAGAAAUCACUCUGUUUCGUGAACAUAACUCAUUUGCUUCUGGGUUGUUGCCAUUGGUACUUCUACUGUAUCCACCUCACACUCCUCUGUUAGUUAGUGCCCUCCAUGCCUGACUGUGAGUUUUAAAGUCCUCUGAGGCGUAGUCUCUAAACAUCUUCCCCACAUUCUCUCAUCCAGGCUCAUGACUUAAACACACUGACAAUUUAUAAAGCACAUGCAGGUAUGCACACACAUAAGCCUGCAGUCUCAAUAAAGCACACAUCAUACAUGCAGGCGUGCACACACACGGGCCUGCAAUAUCAAUCUCUUGCCUAAACUUGAACCCAUAAGGAGUUUCCCACUGUGUUUUAAUUAUUACCGAAUGGUUGAUAAGCAAACCCCUAUGUACUCUUCCUCCUGAGUUAAAACACAGCUAGCAGGUAACUCCUCCCAUCUGAAUAUUCUAUUUGGAGGCUUGACAUCAUCCACAGGUCUCCGGACAUGCCUGUUAGGAAUGGAGCUGUAUGUUUUAUAUAUCCAAUGUCCAAGAAAACUCCAGGACAUAACUGCUCCCCACCACUUCCAGGUUACUGCUAGCCACUGGUCCUCGAUGACAGCUUGCCCACCAGUGCUGUCCCUACCUGUCUAUGCCCUCCAUAGUAGCCAGACAAAUUCUUAAAAAUGGGUAGGUCAGAUCACAUCCAUGCCUUCUGUUCUGACUCUCUGACACACUAUUCUCUUCAAAAAUGAAAGCCAAAGUCCUAUCAGCCAUAAAGCCUCCCAUGGCAUGCAGCCAGUAGGACAGCAUCCUCUGCUCAGGUCUCCAGAUGGGACAGAAACACUUUCUCUGAGACAACAAACAGAAGCUCCCUCAAGUAGAAAUGUCUGCCUAUCUUCUAUGUUCAACUAUGAAGAUCAAGAUAGGGGCCCGGGUAAAAUAACCUUGAGCAAUUACCAUUCCUUCCAGGAUAUAACGGGCUGUGUUCUAAGGGCCGUUCCCUCGCAUCGCUGCUGUUUUUACAAUCAGUGCACUAACAGACUAUGUGAUUUAUGGGAGAUUUCCUCCCCUUUAUUCAUUAGUAACAAUGUCGCAGAAGGAUGAGCACAAGAUUCCCUUGAAGAGAGAGGCUUGGCACAUGAUGUGUUCCAGACGGUGCUUUUCAAGCCUUCACACAAAAAUGGAAUUUUCACUGUCAAGGGCAGUGGACACCUCAGCUCUGUUGAAAGUAGAGGAAUGCACACUUGCCACUAGGCAUUCACGAGUAGAAACCGUCUCUCAAUUCCAUCAGGGCAGCCAAUGACACGCUUUCAGCCCCAGUCUCUCAUUGAGGUGCUAAGGUAUACUACUGCCUCGUUACACGCUAUUUCUUUUUUAAUAUUUUAUUUUUAAUAUGUGUAUAGGUUGUGGGGGUGUUGUGAAUGUGCACGUGGUGCCCACAGAGGCAAGAAGGCACCUUCUAGAGCUGGAAUAUCAGACUGCCAUGAGACAGCUGUGCUGGGAACCCAAUUCAAGUCCCCUCCUGACCUACUUCACCAGCCACACAUGCUUUUCAAACUAGCCAGUGCCAACCACUGAAUGCAAAUACACAAGAACAUGGUCUGUCCUAUGACAAAGCAAAGAUGUUUUCAAACCUCAUGUAGCCUUUGCCUAGCUUUCCUCUAACCCCACAGCCUCACAAAUAGGAUGAAAAGUAACUUUCUUGUCUACUUGCUUCAUGUGUUAGAGAAAGAGGGGUUCCCAAAGAUAAGAAUGUAAUAAGAAACGAGGCCUCACCAAGACCAUCAGUCUCAUCCCAAAUAUAACUGCACGAAGUAAGUAGGAUGAACUAACCACUUCUAAGUCCAAGAUCAAGACAAAAUAAUCAGAGCUCCAUUAUAAAACAGUGUGUGUGUGUGUGUGGGAGAGAGAGAGAGAGAGAGAGAGAGAGAGAGAGAGAGAGAGAGAGAGAGAGAGAGAGAGAGAGAGAGAGAGCAAGAGAGCGCUUAAACUUUGCUGUGUGGCUGGUCUUUCUUUUCCUAUCCCCCUCCCCACCGUGCGUGCGUGUGUGUGUGUGUGUGUGUGUGUGUGUGUGUGUGUGUGUGUGUGUGUUGUAGCAUACUGUGACAGUUUGAAUGGAUCCACCUGGGUAUGUUGGCAUGACUGUGUGUGUGCCUACAUCGUUAUGUGCACAUGUUGCCUUGAGUGUAUCUGUGUGUACAUGAGAAAGUAUGUGUAUGCUACACACAUUUUUACUCUGUAUGCUCUGGGGGAAUCACUUGUAUGUGCCAGCCUGAAAAGGCAAGAACUUAUUGGGAAAAGACAGAGGCCUGUGUAUGUGUGUGAAGAUUAAAGGAGCAUGUGUGUGACUCGGUCCUCAUGUAUUGGAAGAACCUAGGAGUCUUCCAAAUCUCUGACUCCUGUGUGUUGAAAGAGCUUUCUGAAAAUUAUGACAGUACACUUUUACUAAAACCUGCCUUUCCUUCUGCAUGCCUCCAAAACAUCUACUAUAAAUCAUACGUGAAGAAUGCACCACAAUGAUCUGGUAUCCAGUUCUGGACUUCAGUCAAAUGCUAAAUGUUCAUAUGCAAGCAAGAUGCUUUUUUCUCUUUCAGCUUGAAACGGCCUGCUCUAAUUAUUCUCCCUCACUAAAUGGCUCUUUAAAUAAGUAUUACAAUUGAUCACAGUAUAUUGAUUAAACAUUUCAUUUUAAAUUCAAGUUCAACUGAAGUAAUUUUUGACUAAUUAGGGCUAAAUCUCUUGAUAGUAUGAGUUGCACAUAAACAUAAAACACACUGUGAGCCGAAGUGUUUGAACAUUUAGAACGAAGUGCCAUGAAACACAGGCAUGGCAUGUAGACGGAUGUCUUGUAUUUCAGUGUGUACAGUACCCCUCAGGUCAGUUCAUUUUGUCUUGUUCUCCAGAGCUGAGUGAGAGAGACAGAUCACACUACAGCCCCUCACCAUUGAAUGCCUAAAGGAAAGGAUGGUGCUUUUAGCUAUUCUUACUUCUGAGGAAGAGCAAUUCGCUUUGGCUCAUGGUCUCCGAGAUCUCAGUUCACGGUCACUUAACUGCACAUCGCUGGGGAUCCUUUUUCCCAUUGGUUCUUAGUCCCUUUGGACUUGGGACUUAAAAGGAACCAAGAAGUUGAGCAAAGUGGAAGGUGGGCUGAUGGCUUUCUGUCUGUCGUGGUCAGCGAUGAGCUGGUGCUAUCCAGAAACCAAGGACACGCCAAAGGCAACGGCUGCAUUCAUUCUGUCCAUGCCAAUAGCAGAUGCUGGAAUCUUUAAGGGCCUUGCAUAAAGGCCCUCUUCACUCCAUCUUCUCUUCAACCACAUUAUCCUAUCUCCUAUCACCACAAGUCCUAUCAUUUUCUUGUGACCUCACUGAAGUAAGGGUAGGGCUGAUACCUCAUCUAUGUUACAUCCGCCCUAACUCCAGCUGUGUCUUUGCUGCUCUUUUUACGACUAAACCAAUUCUUAUGGGUAACCAGUUUGAAGCUCACAAAAAGACAAAGCCCAGAAGUGGAGGAAACACCAUCAGAUGUUCAGGCCUUGACAGUAAUGCUGGCUGAUAGCUCUUAUCUGCUAUAGUCUUUUCACCUGUCCUUCCUUGUACCCACCCAAAAUUGUGGAACUGUAUUGAUAUAUUAUGCCUAUAUACUUUGUACUGUUAAACUUACAUUCAUUUAUUGGAGGGCAGGUAGGUGCAUAGCAGGUACAUGCUAUGACACUUGAGUGGCGGUCAGAAGACAACUCAUGAGGGUCCUUUCUCUCCUUCUACUAGGCAGAUCCCUAGAAAUAACCUUAGGAUAUCAUGUUUAGCAGCAAGCACCUUUACCCACUGAGCUAUCUGACUGUCUCUAAUUAUUUUUAGAAGAAAGUAAUAACAAUCACUUAGCAUUAUAAAUACCUAUUGGUGCAUUUUUAUGCAGUAUAUAAUUUUGACAUGUAAUUCUAUUCUUUAAGUAUCUUCUUGAACAUCCAUAGCUGUAUUUCUAAUUUUGGUGGUCUGUUUAUUGUAAAAAGGAACUCAUGGUUUUAUAUAAGCAUGGCUGGUAGAUGCUUCAUUUUGAGGUGAAGUUUAAAUCUGGGAAAGGGGCGUUAAGAAUGGAGAAUCCAAUGAGGUCCUUAACUACCAACAUCUAGCCAGUUACUAUUCUUUCCGCAUGUCUAUUCUAAAUGCACAGUUUCCCAUUUAACCUAUUUCCCUUAAUACAAGAUGGUGAAUGGAACUUGGAGCAACUGUUUGGUUUUUUUUCCUUUUACUACCCAAGAUAUGAAUUCAAGAAAUAACUGCCAAACUUUACAGGGAAUCUUCAAGUCAUGCUACAGCUGGCCAGCAGACAAAUUCCCAACUGUCAACACAGGACACAGGAGUACAAAGGGUCUGUGUGUGUAUAUAAAAAACAGCUGCAUAUAUUAUAAUACAUACUGUGUGUGUGUGUGUGUGUGUGUGUGUGUGUGUGUGUGUGUGUGUGUGUGUAGUUAGGUACUAAUCUUUCUUCACUUUACUAGUUUGUCAAGAGGCACUUGGUCCAAGAGUGAUUAUAUAGUUACACCCUUGUUGCUGGCCUGACACACUAGUGAUCCCAAUACUAUCUUGACUGUAGUUCUCACAGGCCUACAAGGAAUACAUCUUAAUUCUUAUUAUGUUAAUUAAACUGUAUACGUCAUAAUUGAGUUUCACUAAUGUGACAAAACAGAAUGCAAGGAGGGAGUACUCCUACAGCAUCCAGAAACACACUACUAAAAUAGCUUUUAACAACUGCAUAUGCUUAAAAGUCAGUGUGGUGUGUCGUUGCAUUGCAUACUAAGUCUCUUCUUUUUUAAAAAAGGAAGAAGUUCAUUAUGUUCCUUUUUUGAGGAGACAUGGUCCCCUCCAAAGGAGCCUUAAAGAAUUCUUAUUAUUUAAGCAAUUUAAAAUCUUGGCUUUCCAUGAAAGAAAGUAAUUUCCUACAUAAUAGAUUCCUAAAAUGAAUACUAUACUGAAAUAAUAAAUUAAAUAAAGUUCCACUGAGCACAGUGGUUUACCCAGGGCAAUGGGAAACAGUGGGCAAACACUGGCUUUGUCCCCUUUUGCAGCUUUCAUUUUCAAAUAAGAUGUUCUCUGUCCCUGUUAAUGAUGUGUCUUUCUAAUAUGAGAUUCUUCUGCUGUUUCGAGUCCUUAAAUUAAGGCCAUAUAGAAUAUCACUUCCCUAGCAACCAGUUUUUUACAGGGAGCCACAGACCUAUGCAACCAACUUAUUUUGGUAAAGUACUUAAAUGUUGAAAAUUUCAUAAGAUAAUAAUGAUUAAAAAUGAUAAAAAAUAUUUUCUGAUUCAGUACAGCCCUGAUUGUAGCACUUACACAGGCCAAGGUGUCCAGUCAAUAUAGCAGAGCCUUUACAUGCACAGAAGGUGUCAGAAAGACCACUGCAGCCUGAAUGUCAUCGCCACACACAAACCCUAAGAAAAGGCCUCCCCUUGCCUUCUAAUUUUAACCUACAACUCCCGUUAUCAUGUAGUUCCCAUCUAGGAAUAAACAUAGGAAAUAUAGUGAACCCAGAUGUCGCUCCUUGAGUGAGAGGAGAAAGAUGCCAGGUCAGUAAAAACUUAAUCAUUGCACAGUUUUCCACUCAAGAAUUAUUCUUUUGCACACGUGCACACACACACACACACACACACACACACACACACACACAGCACAUUAAAAACAGAAUUCUGGGCUUAUAAAAAUAAGCACAAUAUCAGUCCUGGGCUCUUUGUAAAAAUUUCUAAAAAUGGGGCUUUGAAGACAUGAGACUUCUUUUUAAUUAUAUAACUUGGGAUGAUGUAAGGGAGAGGGGGAAAGCUGGUUUCAGCCCAGUUUUGAAAAACAUUCUUCUUAGAUGGCUUCUGUCGUCUUCCGGGGGCUUGGGAAGUAGUAGUGCUCAGGCACUCGGAUUCAUAGAGAACCAAAAGGCAGCUUCGUGCCAGCUAAAGAAAAGUUGCAGCUGACUAGCCCCACUGUGGUGAAAGAGAGCAAGUGAGGGGAGGAGGAGACCGGCUGUUCUGUGGGAUCCUGUCUGCACCAAUCCGAUCCCAUCACCACAGAAUACGGCAUCAAACCGUGACGCUUCAUGACGGCGAAACUCAGACAGGGACAUCUUCAUUACAGACACGGAUAAAGUUGCUUGCUAAGGCUAGGUAACCAGAGACUCUGGCUGUUCAGCUACCCUGUCACCAAGGCCGCCUGCACGCCAACCUGCUGAACUCAGGUGCUGUAUCCAGCCCGAGGCUUUUAGAAAAACUUUGCAGGAUUCUAAUCACCUCUGAGGCAACAGCUUCAUUUGUUACCAGAGGGAGAAUGACAUCCUACCCCAGGAAGUGAAGCUAGCGCACACGAUGGCUUACAAUGAAGGGACUCUUCUGAAGACCAAUCAGUGACCAGGAGGUAUUUGCAGUCACUGGACAUUGAAUGGACUCGAAUGGCCUUGUAUUGUAAUACGAUCGGAUUAUGUCUAGUCCAAAUGCUGUCUGUCCUCUGCAGGGCAGACAAAUCCUAAUCCCCCGCUUACGGAGACAGAGCCAGCCCAGCCCCCAGAAGCUAUCAAUUCUCUCUUUCCAGUUGUUUUCUAAGUGACAGAAAACAAACUGUACACUCAUCCUUUCCUGAAUUCAGACGAAGAAUAAAUAUUGGAUCCUCUU